rnacentral:rRNA from 1 species
UACGUAGGGUGCGAGCGUUGUCCGGAAUUAUUGGGCGUAAAGAGCUCGUAGGCGGUCUGUCGCGUCUGCUGUGAAAUCCCGAGGCUCAACCUCGGGCUUGCAGUGGGUACGGGCAGGCUAGAGUGCGGUAGGGGAGAAUGGAAUUCGUGGUGUAGCGGUGAAAUGCGCAGAUAUCAGGAGGAACACCGAUUGCGAAGGCAGCUCGCUGGGACGUUACUGACGCUGAGACGCGAAAGCGUGGGGAGCAAACAGG